UAAAUCUUUACGUAUUUUUCUAUUUUUAAUGUAAAACGACAAUGUUUAAUAGAAGAACUUGGACAAAUAGUCAAACAUAUUUAUGUUUAUUGUAGUAUUUCCAUUUUUAUGUUGUAUGUUUUACAUAUAUUUAUUAUUUUCGAAAUUAUAUAUAAUGUUUUUUGUUUUUUUAUAAAACGGUAAUGUUACAUUAUGGAGAUAAGCCGUCUUUUUUUUUUAAGUGAAAAAUAGUAAUCUUACAUAUGUUUAAUGUCACGUGUCAUCUUUCGAGAUUAUAUUAUAUAUUUACUUAUUAUUUAUUUUUCUUUAUAUCGUGUAUUUUUAUUUCUUAUACUUUCUAUUUACUAAUAAUUUUAUAUUUUAAGAUUGAGUUACAUUUUAAGAUAGAUGUUUAAAUACUAAUGUACUUUUUCCAUUUUUUUUUAAAUUAUUUUAUAUUUUAAGAUUGAUUUACAUUUUAAGAUAGAUGUUUAAAUACUAAUGUACUUUUUCCAUUUUUUUUUAAAUUGUGUAUUUCCUUUUCUUAUACUUUCUAUUUGCGUAAUAUCUAUAUUUUACAUUUUAAGAUAGAUGUUUAAAUCUUAAUAUACUUUUUUCAUUGUUUUUAAGUUGUUUAUUUCUUUUUCUUAUAUUUUCUAUUUACUUAAUAUCUAUAUUUUACAUUUUAAGAUAGAUGUUUAAUAUUUAAUAUACUCUUUUCAUUUUUUAAAAAUUGUGCAUUUACUUAUUAUUGUAUAUAUAAUUCGUAUAUUUAUAUAUUUAUAAUAUUUACUUAUUAUUUUUUUAUAUAUUGAGUAUUUCUCUUUUUUAUACUUUAUAUUUAGUUAAUGUCUAUAUUUUAUAUUUUAAGAUAGAUGUUUAAAUUUUUACGUAUUUUUCUAUUUUUAAUGUAAAACGGCAAUGUUUAAUAGAAGAACUUGGACAAAUAGUCAAACAUAUUUAUGUUUAUUGUAGUAUUUCCAUUUUUAUGUUGUAUGUUUUACAUAUAAUUAUUAUUUUCGAAAUUAUAUAUAAUUUUUUUGUUUUAUUUUUUAUAAAACGGUAAUGUUACAUUAUGGAGAUAAGCCGUCUUUUUUUUUAAGUGAAAAAUAGUAAUCUUACAUAUGUUUAAUGUAGUUUUUCCAUUUUUUUAAUGCUGUAUGUUUACAUAUUUUUUUACAAUUUUCGAAAAUAAUUAAUAUUAAAAUGUAAAACUAUAUUUUAUGCCACGUGUCAUCUUUUGGGAGAAAUUUUUUCCGCUGAUGUGGACGUCA
rnacentral:lncRNA from 1 species